rnacentral:lncRNA from 1 species
CUCUACAUUACAGCCUGGCAUCGAGCAGACGACCAAGGCCGCAAUCACCGCUCCCGCUGACGUCCCUGCAAAGCGAUGGGCUGUGUCCAGCAUCCUCGGGGCCAGAUCUCGCAGAGCAUCCACGGCCCCAGCCUGGUAGUAGGAAAGGAACCCGCUCCCGGAGAAGGAGAUGGAAUGAGGGGUAUCUGGGUCUCCUUUGAACACCUGUUCGUCCAUGUUCGGGGUCUAUGGCCUCCCAGCGGAGGAAGAACCCACACCUGUCUGCCUUGGCUCAGUAUCUCCUUCUCCCCCAGCCAAGAGCAGGGAAUGUGGCAACUCUACCAGCCCAGUCAGGCAUCCACGGGUGGUUCAUCCAGCCACUGCCUGGGCCUGUUUAGCUCUGCUGAGAGGUACCCCGGAAGGGCUGAUAGGGAUCCCCAGGUACUGGAUGAAAUGUAGACAGUCCUUAGAGUCAUGGGCAGGGGCGUGGUCCUGCAGACCCCUUGCUCACUUCAUGCCCUUGCUAGACUUCUGUCAGGUACAGGCUCUUCAGCGCUCUCCACCCAUCCGGAGCGCACCUAGGAGCGGGGCAUUCCCUGCACCCUGCUCUGGACGGUGUCCACAGAGGCGGUGCCUCUCAGCAUCCAGUUGCAAAAUCUCUGCCUCGCCCUGUGCCUCCCUCACUGACAGGCUGCUCUUCACUGACAGGACGCAGAGUUACACGCCACGCCCCCUAUCCGCCACGCCCCCUCCCCAGCCUGUGUUCCCCUCACUUCCAUUGUGGGCUGCAGGAUGGCUUUGGCUUUCAAUGGGGAGGAGCAACUCAUACCACCCCAUGCCCCUCCCCCACCCCAUUCAGACUCUGGAAAGUUCUUACACAAAACACCUCUCUAUUUAUUCUUACCUUAGGAUUGGCUCUGGGCAAAAACUGUAACAGAGAAGUAUGGCUCUGGGUGUUUGCCCUGGUUUGCUUUCCAUUGCUGUGAUAAAACACCGUGACCAAAAGCAACUUGGGGAGAAAAGGGUUAUUUCAGCUCACAGUUUAAGGUUCAUCAUGAAAGUCAAGGCAGGGCGAGAGGAACCAAUGCAGGUUUGCUCCCCCAUCGCUACACGCUGUCUCCUUCCUUCCUUCCUUCCUUCCUUCCUUCCUUUCUUUCUUUCUUUCUUUCUUGUAAAGAUUUAUUUAGUACACUGCAUCUUCAGACACUCCAGAAGAGGGCGUCAGAUUUGUUACGAGGAUGGUUGUGAGCCACCAUGCGGUUGCUGGGAUUUGAACUCAGGACCUUUGGAAGAGCAGUCACUACUCUUAACCGCUGAGCCUUCUCUCCAGCCCCCAACCUGCUUUCUUACACAGACUCAGACCACCUGCCUAGGAAUGGCACCGCCCACAGUGGGCUGAGCCUUCUUCCAUCAAUCAUUAAUCAAGAAAAUACCCUAUAGACUUGCCGAUCUGAUGGCGGCCGAUCUGAUGGCGGCAACUCCUCCAAUGAGAGUCCCUCUUCGCAGCGUCCAUCAGUAACCAGCCAGAAGUCGCCAGCCUCCUUCCUACCUCUUCUUAUUCUGUCAUCUCCCUGUCCCUGGCCUGGUCCGUGCAGGUCUUCUCUCUUGCCUCUCAGUCCUGUGCCAGCUCCAGAGGCCUGAAGAGGGUAUCCGAUGCCCUGCAGCCGGAAUCACAGGCAGUUGUGAGCUGCCUGAUAUAGGUGCUGGGAACUGAACACCGGUCCUCAGGGAGAGAGCAUCAUGUCUUCAGCUGGAGUGCUGUCUCUUGGGUGUGCAGGAGGGAAGAGGACAGCGAGCUUGGUCAUUCCAAGAUGGCCACAUGAAUAGAUAGCUUGUGGAUGGGGGUCAGGGGUCGGGGGUCAUGAGGUCUCAUGUGGGGUGUCUGGGUCUCCUCAUCAGGGUCAGGGCAGAGAGAUGUUUUGGUAAGGGACAGGGGCUUGGGGACCAGGGUUAGCUCUAGGGCUACUCAGCAUGAUUUCUGAGAGGAGGGAUUUUCUCACCCAAAAAGGUCACUGCGGAUCACUAAGGCAGCAAAAAGCUUUCCUAGUCCCCUCCUUCCCGUCCUCCUCCCUCUCCCCUACUUCUUCCUCUUCUCUGCUCUCCCUCCUCCUCCUCUGCAUCCUCCCCUCUUCCCACUCCUCCUCUUUCCCCUCCUCUCCCUCCUCCCACUCUUCCUCUGACUUUUCUCCCUCCUCCUUCUCCUCCUCCUUCUCCUCCUCGUUCCCCUCCCCCUCCUCCCCUGCCUUCUCCCCACUCCACCUUUCCUUUAUCCUCCGUCUCUCCCUGUCCUCUCCCUCCUCUUCCAUAUUCUCCCUCCUCCUUUUUCUCUUCCCUCCUCUCUUUCCUCCUCCACCCUCACAGCCAUCACUGUCACUGUCACCAUCACCCCAUGGUAGCAGGACCAGAAUUAGAACUGAGACAAGUUGUCUCUCUCCUAGUCCCAGUUGGCCCCAGCCACUCUAUAGGUGGGGACAAUGAUGUCUUUCCUGGAGUUCCUGUCAACUGAUGAUUUCAUUGAUCCAAACUGGCAAUACAGAGUCCAGCACCCACUAAGGAGGGAGCCUUCCAGGGUUCCAUCUUACACAGAGCUUCAGACAUGUAAUUGUCAGAUUUGGAAGGCAGGUUGUGUGUGUGUGUGUGUGUGUGUGUGUGUGUGUGUGUGUGUGUGUGUGUGUGUCGGGGACAUGUAACAGGAAGAAGCCAAUGGCUUUUGGCAAUGAGAACAAGGAGAAAUGCCGCCUCAACUCCCCCAGACCACAGACCAGAUACUGACAGGUUUCCUGGGACUCUGACAAGCAACUGUGAAGUAACCAGAGAUGCAGCCAAGGCGCCCUGUAAUUAACUGCUACAUUGUGCAAGGCUAGAUUGCCUCAGGAGGAACAAAGAGGGAGGGAGAGAGGGCAGGUUGAGCUAUGACAUCAGAAGCUGGGGACUGGAGACUAGAGAUGGGGGAGCAGUGUGCAGGGCAGGGGACAGCUCUGGGCUUCCUUUGGAGGGAGGCAUGAUGAACUCAGGGGCAUGGGAGGGGCUCUUGGGGUCAGACAGACAGGUUGACUCCCUGGCUCUGUACUGCUGUUUACACGCAGUGGGACCCGCACAGUACACCUGGAUUUUCCUCAUUUGCAAAACAGGCAGCAGUAGUUCUCAAGCUUGACAGGAGUUACAGAGGUGACAGAUAAAGGCUAUGCCUGGCAGGUGACAGGCCUGUCACUAUCAGAAGGCAAUAGAGGCCAAGGUUUCUGUAAAAGAUGGAUCCUAGAGUCUGUGGAAGAGAAGAGUAAGUAGGUCAGAAGGGACACAUGUGACCUCCACUGCGCGGGGCGGGGGACCUUUGGAGGACACUCCAGCUGGAGAGUCGUGGAAGGGAGGACAGAUUAGGGUCGGUGAUCCAGGAAGAUGAAUGGCUGGAGGGUGAGUCAGCAAAGCUAUUGCCACAGAGCCUUGGAUGUGGGACUGGCUGGGUGAGCAAGGUGAUUCACGGAUAAUGCCUGGUUUUCUGCCUGUGGCUAGGGAGAGACAGGGUGCCUGUGGCAGACCCAGAAACUGGGACACUGGUGAGGAAACUGGAUGAAGAUUUUAUCUAUCUGUCUGUUUGUCCAUCCGUCCAUCUUAAGAUUUAGGAGGUAGAAAGACAGCUCAGCAGUUGCUUCUAUUGCAAAGGACCUAGGUUCAAAUUCCAGCACCAGUGAGGGUACUUAAAACCAUUCAGAACUCUAGUUUUAGAGGAUCUGGUGCCCUCUUCUGGCCACUAGGGGCACUACAUACAUAUGGUACACACGCAGGCACAACAGCCAUGCUCAUAAAAUAAGAAUGAAGUGAAAAUACUAUAUUUGUACUUUUUUAAAGCUUGGCAUGGUGUGUAAUGCCUUUAAUAUCAGCACUUGGGAGGCAGAAACAGGACGAUCUCUAGGAGUUUGAGGCCAGGCAAUGCUAUAUAACCUGGUCUUGUCUCAAAAUAAAUAAGAAAGCUGGGUGCCCAUGUGGAGAUCAAGGGAUAACUUUCUGAAGUGGACUCUUGCUACAGUUUUCAGCUGUCACCUUGACUUCUGUGUGUAGGACAAGGCUACACAUGCUAGUUUGCAUGCAAAGGUCAGAGAGCAACUUGAAGGAGCUGGUUGGUCUGAUUCUUCCACCAUGUGGACUCCAGGGAUUGAACUCAUGAACCCGGACUUCACAGCAAUCACGUUUACCUGCUGGACCAUCUCCAUGGCUUUCAAAAAGCAAACAGUUGGAAGCUGGGUGUCCUGGAGUCCAGCUUUAAUCC